UAGGGAAUCUUCGGCAAUGGACGAAAGUCUGACCGAGCAACGCAGCGUGAGUGAAGAAGGUUUUCGGAUCGUAAAACUCUGUUGUUAGAGAAGAACAAGGACGUUAGUAACUGAACGUCCCCUGACGGUAUCUAACCAGAAAGCCACGGCUAACUACGUGCCAGCAGCCGCGGUAAUACGUAGGUGGCAAGCGUUGUCCGGAUUUAUUGGGCGUAAAGCGAGCGCAGGCGGUUUCUUAAGGCUGAUGUGAAAGCCCCCGGCUCAACCGGGGAGGGUCAUUGGAAACUGUGAGACUUGAGUGCAGAAGAGGAGAUUUGAAUUCCAUGUGUAGCGUUGAAAUGCGUAGAUAUAUGGAGGAACACCAGUGGCGAAUGCUGCUCUCUGGUCUGUAACUGACGCUGAGGCUCGAAAGCGUGGGGAGCAAACAGG
rnacentral:rRNA from 1 species